rfam:Carnobacterium inhibens subsp. gilichinskyi strain WN1359, complete genome.
AAAAUCAAGCAGAAGCACCCGCUUCUCGCCUAAGUUGACGAAAGUGUCUCUGGGCUAGAUAUAAACGAUGAUAACUUGCAUUCGGUGUGAGUUAGAAAUUAUUUAUAGGCGGGUUCAUAAUGAACUCGUCUAUUUUUCUGCUG